rnacentral:misc_RNA from 1 species
GUAGGUGAACCUGCGGAAGGAUCAUUACUGAACUGUCGACACGAGUUGUUGCUGGUCCUCAAAUGGGGGCAUGUGCACGCUCUGUUUACACAUCCACUCACACCUGUGCACCCUUAUGUAGUUCUAUGGUUUGGGGGACUCUGUCCUCCUGCCGUGGUUCUAUAUCUUUACACACACUCUGUAAUAAAGUUUUAUGGAAUGUAUACCGCGUUUAACGCAAUACAAUACAACUUUCAGCAACGGAUCUCUUGGCUCUC